GAGAGAGUCAUGUUCAGGGAUGGGAAUGACUUGACAUUAGAUAUAAGUCAAAUCUCCCCAAAUUAAUCCAUGAGUCCUCAAUCAGUAUUCAAUUUAGAUUCUUUUGAAGAUUUUGACAGACUUCCAAAAACUUAUGUUAGGUUUAUAAAUAAGUCAGCUUCAAAAAGUGGAGCAAAGAGAAAGAGAAACAGAAUAGAAGACUCAUAAACCAAUGCUUGUAAAUAUGGGAACUUGGUCUAUGAUAAAGACAGCACCACACAAUUAAUAGGUAAGUGAUGAAGUAUUUUGUAGCCAAUAAUGGGGAUCUUAACUCAUUUCUCCUUUCCUGUAGUAGAAUGAUAUAUUCAUGGGCUUUUCAUGUGACUUUGGAAUACCUCCCACUGGAACAGGAAUAUAUAUCCUGUUGAUGGCGGUCAUGGCUUUAACCAUGGAUGUUAGGAUACAUGAUAUAAGCAGAGGUUUUCAAUAUGCUUUGGUUAUUUGGCUUGGCCUCUUGCAUUUCUGCAUCUGCCAUAAGAAAAACAUGCCUUGGCUGAUUUCUGGUCCAUGGAAUGAGGAGACAUAUGGAGCACACCUGAACUC
rnacentral:lncRNA from 1 species